rnacentral:rRNA from 1 species
CUGUGAUGCCCUUAGAUGUUCUGGGCCGCACGCGCGCUACACUGAUUAAUCCAACGAGUCCGCUUCAAUCGAGGCGUGGCGUCUGUCGGGGUCAAACCCGAUAGUUGCGUCGCUGUCCUCGAUCGCGCCUGGGCCGAUAGGUCCGGGUAAUCUUUGCAAAUUUAAUCGUGCUGGGGAUAGAUCAUUGUAAUUAUUGAUCUUCAACGAGGAAUUCCUAGUAAGCGCGAGUCAUC